rnacentral:rRNA from 1 species
UACGAGGGGGGCGAGCGUUGUUCGGAAUUAUUGGGCGUAAAGAGCUCGUAGGCGGUUUGUUGCGUCGGCUGUGAAAUCCCGAGGCUCAACCUCGGGUCUGCAGUCGAUACGAGCAAACUAGAGUGUUGCAGGGGAGACUGGAAUUCCUGGUGUAGCGGUGAAAUGCGCAGAUAUCAGGAGGAACACCGGUGGCGAAGGCGGGUCUCUGGGCAACAACUGACGCUGAGGAGCGAAAGCGCGGGGAGCGAACAGG